rnacentral:lncRNA from 1 species
AGGGGGUAGUGACACUGAGCCCACCAAAGGACAUAGACAAUAUUAGGAAGACACAGACCUUGCCCAGGAGGGCAGAGACCUUGAGGAGAUGGCACGGACCCAACAAAAUAUCCUCCUGAGAGGCAUAUAUCCCUCGGAUGAAAUGGAGUUCAAUUCCAUCACCACCUCAGAAAAGAGCUUUGCUGGAGCCAGUCUGGACCUGUAGAAUUUAGGUGAUUGUUACAUUUUAAAUGUGCACAUUCAUACCUCAGAAAUCAGUGAUGCCGGGGGCAGCUGGGUGGCUCAGUAGAUUCAGAGUCAGGGCUAGAGAUGGGAGGUCCUGGGUUCAAAUUUGACCUCAGCCACUUCCUAGCUGUGUGAUCCUGGGCAAGUCACUUGACCCCCAUGGCCUAGCCCUUACCACUCUUCUGCCUUGGAGCCAAUACACAGUAUUGAUUCCAAGAUGGAAGGUGAGGGUUAAAAAAAAAAGAAAUCAGUGAUGCCACAAAUCAGGGUUUGACAUUGUUUCAGACUUAGGAAAAUGUUAAUAAUGAAGAUUAAACUAAAAAAAAAAGUCAUGCCUCUGUUUCUCCUGUCUCUCCACCCUUACCCACUGGCCUAGUUAUUAAACAUUUACUGGUACAUCUUGCGCUAUGUGAGGCAAGUUAGGUUUCCUCAGUAAUAUGCUGCUCCCCUCCCAAGGACAGAAUAAAUGGAAGGAAUGAGAAAGUAUUCAUUAAGCAUCUUCUAUAUUCAAAGCACUAACUGCUAUUGGGGGUAGGGGGCGAGGUGCAAAUAGAAAAUCAUGACAGUCCCUGCUGUCCAGGAGCUCAUAUUCUAAUGGGGGGAGAUAAGACAUAGAGGAGCUUUCGGCAUCAAGUCAGAUGGGAACUUCCGGUCCUUUGGGUAUAGCGGAUGCAAUGGAGUCCAGUGACUCUGAAGUUAUCUCUGCUUGAAAGUUUGCCAGAUCAGUUCUUGGUAUGUUAUUUCAUAUUUUCUUCAUGUUUUUAUACUCUAUUGAUUUUAUUUUAAUAUAACAUCUCCCAUUAAAUUCUUGGUUCAUUCUAUAUUCAGGAAAUUUGUAAACUUGGGUAAAUAAGGUUUUGUAUAUCUUCUAUUAAACUUUUAAUUCUUCUUCCAAAUAUUUCUUCUGGUGCUCUCAUUAAAAAAAAUUAUUUUAGAGAUCUCAUAAUAUAUACUAUGAUUUUUUAAAAACCCUUCCCUUCUGUCUUAGAUUUUUAAAUUUUAUUUUUAAAUUAUUAAUUAAUAAUUAUAUAUUUAAUUAAUAAUAUAUA